rnacentral:tRNA from 1 species
CCUGAUGGUUCAGACAGUAAAGAAUCUGCCUGUAAUGCAGAAGACUUGGGUUUGAUCCUUACGUCAGGA